rnacentral:sRNA from 1 species
GUUUAGCGCAAACGAUAGAAGCGACAUCCUUUUGGGUUUUGCAAAAACGCAAAAGAUAUAGCGAAUAGCGUGGUGUGCA